AAAAAUUAAAUAGAGAGAUGAAAUGUGUGGAAAAUAAUUAGACAAAUAAACGUGAAAAUAAUAUUAAGAAUUUAACUGACAUUGAGGGAUGAAGGCAUGAGUAGCAAAACGGAUUAGAUACCCGAGUAGGUCAUGCAGUAAAC
rnacentral:rRNA from 13 species